CCGGCGAUGUCCGAAUGGGGAAACCCAGUGCAAUUCGUUGCACUAUCGUUAACUGAAUACAUAGGUUAACGAGGCGAACCGGGGGAACUGAAACAUCUAAGUACCCCGAGGAAAAGAAAUCAACCGAGAUUCCCCCAGUAGCGGCGAGCGAACGGGGAGCAGCCCGGAGUCUGAAUCAGCUUGUGUGUUAGUGGAAGCGUCUGGAAAGUCGCAGGGUACAGGGUGAUACUCCCGUACACUAAAACACACAGGCUGUGAACUCGAAGAGUAGGGCGGGACACGUGGUAUCCUGUCUGAAUAUGGGGGGACCAUCCUCCAAGGCUAAAUACUCCUGACUGACCGAUAGUGAACCAGUACCGUGAGGGAAAGGCGAAAAGAACCCCGGCGAGGGGAGUGAAAAAGAACCUGAAACCGUGUACGUACAAGCAGUAGGAGCCC
rnacentral:rRNA from 1 species